AUUGAACGCUGGCGGCAGGCCUAACACAUGCAAGUCGAGCGAGCGGCGGUCGGGGGAGUAAUGCCUGGGAAACUGCCCGAGGGAAGGGGAUCACUACUGGAAACGGUAGCUAAUACCGCAUACCAUCAGAUGGGCCCAGAGUGGAUUAGCUAGUAGGUGGGGUAACGGCUCACCUAGGCGACGAUCCCUAGCUGGUCUGAGAGGAGGACCAGCCACACUGGAACUGAGACACGGUCCAGACUCCUACGGGAGGCAGCAGUGGGGAAUAUUGCCCAAUGGGCGCAAGCCUGAUGCAGCCAUGCCGCGUGGAUGAAGAAGGCCUUCGGGUUGUAAAGUACUUUCAGCGGGGAGGCGUUACCCGCAGAAGAAGCAACGGCUAACUCCGUGCCAGCAGCCGCGGUAAUAC
rnacentral:rRNA from 1 species